AGGGUUCGGCUGUUCGCCGAUUAAAGUGGCACGCGAGCUGGGUUCAGAACGUCGUGAGACAGUUCGGUCCCUAUCUGUUGUGGGCGUUGGAAAAUUGAGAGGAUCUGACAUUAGUACGAGAGGACCGUGUUGGACAAACCUCUAGUGUACCUGUUGUGGCGCCAGCUGCAUCGCAGGGUAGCUACGUUUGGACGAGAUAAGCACUGAAAGCAUCUAAGUGCGAAGCUUCCCUCAAGAUGAAUUUUCCUUUAAGGGUCGUUAAAGACUAUGACGUUGAUAGGCCAUAGGUGUAAAGGCAGUAAUGUCAAAGCCGAGUGGUACUAAUUACCCGUAAGCUUCUCUUU
rnacentral:ncRNA from 1 species